rnacentral:rRNA from 1 species
GUGGGGAAUUUUGGACAAUGGGCGCAAGCCUGAUCCAGCAAUGCCGCGUGUGUGAAGAAGGCCUUCGGGUUGUAAAGCACUUUUGUCCGGAAAGAAAUCUCCUGGGUUAAUACCUCGGGGGGAUGACGGUACCGGAAGAAUAAGCACCGGCUAACUACGUGCCAGCAGCCGCGGUAAUACGUAGGGUGCGAGCGUUAAUCGGAAUUACUGCGCGUAAAGCGUGCGCAGGCGGCUCUGCAAGACAGAUGUGAAAGCCCCGGGCUCAACCUGGGAACUGCAUUUGUGACUGCAAGGCUAGAGUGCGUCAGAGGGAGGUGGAAUUCCGCGUGUAGCAGUGAAAUGCGUAGAGAUGCGGAGGAACACCGAUGGCGAAGGCAGCCUCCUGGGAUGACACUGACGCUCAUGCACGAAAGCGUGGGGAGCAAACAGGAUUAGAAACCCCGGUAGUCC